rnacentral:rRNA from 1 species
AUGGGCGCCGUCCCUGCUACACAUACUGUGGCCGGAGCUUUUUCUGUUGCCUUGAUGAUCAUCACAGUUUUCCGGCAUCUUUUAAAUAAGUUCAUCUUUCUUUUCCUCUUCCACUCACACCGUGAUUGGAAACAACUAUGGAGCUCUAUGAGGAGUAUAUGGCACCUACUUGCGGACAUGGAUUUUCAGUUUACCUCUACACGUUGGUUGAGAGAUCUACUGGAGUCUGUGCCGAAAAGUAUGGUCGACUACAUCAUCUUGACUGCUUGGCGAGCAUGUACGGUGUCUGAUCCUCGCAUGGCACAACUGAAGAAACCACCUGAUAACGUUUGGGCCAAACCUCCAGCUGGGUGGGUGAAACUGAAUUGCGAUGGUUCUGUUGAGGCAGAGGAUGGCUCGGCCGGAGCUGGAAUGGGGCUUCGAGAUGAAAAUGGGACCAUAAUUUUCUUGGCGUGUCGUCAACUGCUGAACUGUUCAGAUCCUUUUGAGGCCGAAACAAGGGCAUGUGAGGAAGGCUUGACGCUGACGAUGCAAUGGAACGAUAAGACGACUAGAAAAACAACAGUAGCUGCCCAGAAGAAGAGGAAUUGCAAGAACCAAUUCACGAUGGCACGUCCAAGGAACAACACAAAUAUUUUGUUCUUGGUUGUAGCUCUUCUGUUCAUGUCUACCCCCUUCCUGGCCUGUAACGCAGACAUCGACCCACCCAGCUGGUGCACGCCGGAGGCGGUUUGCCAGGACCCGGUUACGCCGGGAAACAGGGAAACGUGCAAAAGCAUCUGCAAAAGUUUUGGCUACAACCCGGAACAAGCCUACUGCAAUCCCGAUCCCACUCCGAGGUGCUGCUGCAUCUAUUAA